GCCUUAGUAGCUUAGUCAUAAAGCAUUGGCUUUGUAAGCCAAAGAACGGGCCUCAUGCCCCUAAGACA
rnacentral:tRNA from 1 species